rnacentral:rRNA from 1 species
GAUGAACGCUGGCGGCGUGCCUAAUACAUGCAAGUCGAGCGAACGGACGAGAAGCUUGCUUCUCUGAUGUUAGCGGCGGACGGGUGAGUAACACGUGGAUAACCUACCUAUAAGACUGGGAUAACUUCGGGAAACCGGAGCUAAUACCGGAUAAUAUUUUGAACCGCAUGGUUCAAAAGUGAAAUACGGUCUUGCUGUUACUUAUAAAUGGAUCCGCGCUGCAUUAGCUAGUUGGUAAGGUAACGGCUUACCAAGGCAACGAUGCAUAGCCGACCUGAGAGGGUGGUCCGCCACACUGGAACUGAGACACGGUCCAGACUCCUACGGGAGGCCGCAGUAGGGAAUCUUCCGCGAUGGGCGAGAGCCUGACGGAGCAACGUCGCGUGAGUGAUGAAGGUCUUCGGAUCGUAAAACUCUGUUAUUAGGGGAGAACAUAUGUGUAAGUAACUGUGCACAUCUUGACGGUACCUAAUCAGAAAGCCACGGCUAACUACGUG